UACGGAGGGUGCGAGCGUUGUCCGGAAUCAUUGGGUUUAAAGGGUGCGUAGGUGGGCAAGUAAGUCAGUGGUGAAAUCUCCGGGCUUAACCCGGAAACUGCCAUUGAUACUAUUUGUCUUGAAUACUGUGGAGGUCAGCGGAAUAUGUCAUGUAGCGGUGAAAUGCUUAGAUAUGACAUAGAACACCAAUUGCGAAGGCAGCUGGCUACACAAAUAUUGACACUGAGGCACGAAAGCGUGGGGAUCAAACAGG
rnacentral:rRNA from 1 species